UGGUGUAGUGUUACUGCUUUAUCUGUAGUGAUAAGGCAACUGUCUUCCUGCAGCAACUAAGUUGCCUUAUCAUUAUAGCUAAAGUAAAACUCAUGCCA
rnacentral:miRNA from 12 species